rnacentral:rRNA from 1 species
AUUGAACGCUGGCGGCAGGCCUAACACAUGCAAGUCGAACGAGUGGCGGACGGGUGAGUACUGUCGGGGACACUGCCCGAUGGAGGGGGAUAACUACUGGAACCAGUAGCUAAUACCGCAUACCAUCGGAUGUACCCAGAUGGGAUUAGCUAGUAGGUGGGGUAACGGCUCACCUAGGCGACGAUCCCUUGCUGGUCUGAGAGGAUGACCAGCCACACUGGGACUGAGACACGGUCCAGACUCCUAAGGGAGGCAGCAGUGGGGAAUAUUGCACAAGGGGCGCAAGCCUGAUGCAGCCAUGCCGCGUGUAUGAAGAAGGCCUUAGGGUUGUAAAGUACGUUCAGCGGGGAGGCGUUACUCGCAGAAGAAGCACCGGCUAACUCCGUGCCAGCCGCCGCGGUAAUAC